rnacentral:rRNA from 1 species
AUGAUUACCACUGGAGGUAGAGCACUGGAUAAGCUAGGGGGUCCAACAGACUUACCAAACUUAACCAAACUCCGAAUGCCAGUGAGUACAGUAUAGCAGACAGACCAUGGGUGCUAAGGUCCGUGGUCGAGAGGGAAAGAGCCCAGACCGCCAUCUAAGGUCCCAAAAUCAUGACUAAGUGUUAAAGGAUGUGAGAAAACCAAAACAACUAGGAUGUUGGCUUAGAAGCAGCCAUCAUUUAAAGAAAGCGUAAUAGCUCACUAGUCUAAUUAAGUUUUCUUGCGCCGACAAUGUAACGGGGCUAAAGUCAUGUACCGAAGAUGCGGAUUCAUAUGUAAACAUAUGAGUGGUAGCGGAGCGUUCCGUAAGCCUGUGAAGGCAUCCUGUAAGGGCUGCUGGAGGUAUCGGAAGUGAGAAUGCUGACAUAAGUAGCGAUAAAGAAUGUGAGAGACAUUCUCGCCGAAAGUCCAAGGGUUCCUGCGUAAAGCUAAUCUGCGCAGGGUUAGUCGGCCCCUAAGACGAGGCUGAAAGGCGUAGUCGAUGGGAAUCAGGUUAAUAUUCCUGAACCGAGAAGAAGUGACGAAGUUCAAAAAUUGUAUAUACUUAUUGGAUUGUGUAUGCUAGUUGCGAGCUUCCAGGAAAUAACUCUUCAAUUAAGACCGUACCCUAAACCGACACAGGUGGACAGGUAGAGUAUACCAAGGCGCUUGAGAGAACGAUGCUGAAGGAACUAGGCAAAUUGCAUCUGUAACUUCGGGAGAAAGAUGACCUAUAAUUGGGCAACCAGUUGUAGGUGGCACAAACCAGGGGGUAGCGACUGUUUAUUAAAAACACAGGGCUCUGCUAAGUCAAUAGACGAUGUAUAGGGUCUGACGCCUGCCCAGUGCUGGAAGAUUAAAAGGAGGGGUGCAAGCUCUGAAUUGAAGUCCCAGUGAACGGCGGCCGUAACUAUGACGGUCCUAAGGUAGCGAAAUUCCUUGUCGGGUAAGUUCCGACCCGCACGAAUGGCGUAACGACUUCCCCACUGUCUCCAGUAUCGACUCAGCGAAAUUGAAUUCUCAGUUAAGAUGCUGAGUUCCCGCGGUUAGACGGAAAGACCCCGUGCACCUUUACUAUAGCUUUGCACUGGUAUUAGGGAUUAAAUGUGCAGAAUAGGUAGUAGACUAUGAAGCAGAGGCGCCAGCCUUUGUGGAGUCGAAAUGUGAGAUACUACCCUUUUAAUUCUUGAUAUCUAACCAUGAAUCCUUGAAUCAGGAUUUGGGACAAUGCAUGGUGGGUAGUUUGACUGGGGCGGUCGCCUCCCAAACAGUAACGGAGGCGCGCGAUGGUUAGCUCAGGUUGGUCAGAAAUCAACUGUUAGAGUGCAAUGGCAUAAGCUAGCCUGACUGCGAGACCCACAAGUCGAGCAGAGACGAAAGUCGGUCAUAGUGAUCCGGUGGUCCCGUGUGGAAGGGCCAUCGCUCAACGGAUAAAAGGUACGCCGGGGAUAACAGGCUGAUGAUUUCCAAGAGUCCAUAUCGACGAAAUCGUUUGGCACCUCGAUGUCGGCUCAUCACAUCCUGGGGCUGGAGAAGGUCCCAAGGGUACGGCUGUUCGCCGUUUAAAGUGGUACGUGAGCUGGGUUUAGAACGUCGUGAGACAGUUCGGUCCCUAUCUACCGUGGGUGUAGGAAGUUUGAGAGGAUCUGCCUUUAGUACGAGAGGACCGAGGUGGACGUACCUCUGGUGUACCAGUUGUCGCGCCAGCGGCAUAGCUGGGUAGCUAAGUACGGACGGGAUAACCGCUGAAUGCAUCUAAGCGGGAAACCCACCUUAAAACUAGACUUCCCUAUCAGAGCCGUGGAAGACCACCACGUUGAUAGGCCAGGUGUGGAAGCAUGGCAACAUGUGAAGCUAACUGGUACUAAUAGCUCGAUUGUUUUAUUUUG